rnacentral:sRNA from 1 species
AGCAACAAAGCAAUGACAAACAGUUUAGGCAACAGCAACAGUCAGUCAACCAGCCAGCCAGCUAGCCAACCUGCCAACUUUAUACAGUUAUAUUAGCAUUGGCCCUAUAAAACUCCACAAAUGAGUCGACAGGACUGAUGUUAGCCAUCUGCUUUGAAAUCUUGCUAAAGCUGGCCCGGGGGCGGUGGUGAUGUGAGCCAUGGCACGAGGUCUUUUUUCGUAACGAAACAAGAGAAAGUAGG